rnacentral:rRNA from 1 species
GCAAGUCGAGCGAGAAAUUCAGAUUUAAAACCUUCGGGUGGAGAUGAAGAAUGGAAAGCGGCGGACGGGUGAGUAACGCGUGGGCAACCUACCUUAUACAAAGGGAUAGCCACUGGAAACGGUGAUUAAUACCUUAUAACACUGUUUAAUCGCAUGAUUGAAUAGUCAAAGAUUUAUCGGUAUAGGAUGGGCCCGCGUCUGAUUAGUUAGUUGGUAAGGUAAUGGCUUACCAAGGCGACGAUCAGUAGCCGACCUGAGAGGGUGAUC